rnacentral:lncRNA from 1 species
AUGGUAAGACGUAGGACUCGAACCCACAACCCUGAGAUUAGCUGCUAAACGCUUUGUCCGCACAGCUAUCAACCAUUAUUGCAUCGACUUAUAUUUAAAAGUUGAUACAUCAAAUCCUGGAGUUUAUACGAUGGGCAAUGCGCUGGGUAUUGUAAAAGCCCAUCCAUACACCGCGGUUUGAGACCACCAUCUACUACUAGAUGUCUGGUGUCUGCCUUGAACAAGUAUUAAAAGGGUCCAUAUAUAAAUAAAUAAGGGCCCAAUACUGUGACAUAGCGCUAUUUAUACACCACUUUGUCUUCAUGAUUCAUAUGUUAAUAUGUCGCAUAUCAUCCGUAGUCAAAGAAUUACUUGGUUGGCCUUAAACUUUAUUCAAAACGCAAUAUUACAUUGGAAACCCAUCACUGUAAAUACCGAACUUUGGGAAACCAUCAUUAUAAAACCGAACAUUCUAUAGUCAGUCAUGUACUCGUAAUUUUCAGUUGGCAUUAUACACGCAAAAAGAAAUACACUAACUUAUUCCUUAUCAUUUCAUUGUAAAACGGAUAAUAGAUAAUUCAGCUUCAAUGAUGCAUAGACUUUUCGCUCGUAUAUCAGAUGGUGAAAGUUAAGAAAAUAUCGAUGAAUUUGAAUGGACAAGGUUUGAGACAUUUAAGAAGUACCCGUCCAAUGUUCACGUAGCGCCAAUGCGUCUCGCAUCAGCUGGAUUUUAUUAUGUGGGACAUGGACAGAGCGACGAAGUUAAAUGUUUCUCCUGCUCCGUUAGGCAUAGCGGCUAUUCUAUUGGAGAUGCAUAGACGUCUAUCACCGUCUUGUGAAUUCGUCAGAGGGACUGAUGGUAACAAUGUUCCUAUCCACGAACCAAACAGCUCAGCUUCUAUUCAACGUUUUAGCGACGAAUGUAUCUGUGCAUUCGGAGGGCUUACACAAAACACAGGAAGUGGGCUUACAAACGGAACUGUGCAGGACACAACUGAUCGUCUAAAAUUUCCCAAGUUUAUUAGUAUUAUCGACCAUUUGACUUCAUUCAUUAAUUUUGUGAUUAAAGAUGGUGUCAUUUAAACCAAAGAAUUAGCUGAAGCUGGAUUUUUCUGCGCUGAAUGCGUCAUCGAUGAUCGAAGGUGGAAAACAGAAAAGCAACGGGAUCUCGCGGAAAAGGACAAGACUGGCCUGAAAAAUCGCAGAAGCAGAGAAAUGGCCGUCUUAAUGGGACUCACAAUGUGCAAGAUUGAAGAAGUUCAAGGUCAGCAAAAUCUGCAGAAAGAGUUAGAGGAACUGAAAGACAAGCUCAUGUGUAAAAUCUGUUGUGAAACAAAUGUCGUUUUUCUUCCAUGUGGUCACUUGGUUUCCUGUCAAGCCUGGGCACCACAUAUUACGAAAUGUGCGCUUUACAGGCCGUAAGAAAAUAUUUUUAUCGUAACAAUCUCAGUGGUAAUUCUAAGACUCCUGGGAGCAAUUGUGAAAUAAAUAAAAAUAAUGUUUUGUCAUCUACCAUAACCCGAAAUACAAUAGGAAUUUCCUGAAAUUUUAGUUCCCAAGUUUUGAAAAAGUUCCAUAUCAAGUGUCCUAUUGAAGUAAAGUGAUGCCAGAUUCUAACACUUAGAACUGGUCUUCGUUUUAUGAUGAAUUUUAUGAAUAUUUGUGUAUAAUCUGAAAAACUGUACAUCCAGAUUUGUCUCUUCAUUGGGAAAGUACCUUUAAGUUGUUGGGAGUAAAUUUUACAACAGACUAAGAAGAUAUUGUACAACUAAUUUUUGGCCCAACAGUUUAAGAAAUUAAAAUUCUCUUGACAAUUUGGUAUAAAAGGAUUUUAAUUCCUAUUGGAUAAAAAGUUGUUUUGAAAACAGUAGCACUACCAAAAAUUAAUCAUCUUUUUGUUAGUCUUCCUGCCCCUCACGUGAAAUAAUAAAGGAAAUAGAGGAUAUGUUCUUUUAAGUUUUUUGUGGAAUGAUAGCCCAGAUAAAGUAAAACGAGAUACAGUUAAGGAAAACUCUAAGGGGGAGGAUUAAGAGUAAUUGACAUUGAAAAGUUCAUAAUGGUCAUGGAAUGUUCAUGGUUUAGAAAGUAUUUGAAAAGUAACUCCACUUAUUAUGAUCUAGUAAAUAGUAUAUACCCAUGGAUUAACUCUGUUAAAAAAAGGCACAUAUUUUUUUUUACAAAAGAAAGUAUCAGAAGUUAAAAACCCAUUUUGAAAGAUGUGUUCUUAGGAAUACACCAAUUACUUUUUCUAAAUACUCCAGCAAGUUGGGAAGAUUUUCUUUCAGAACCCGUUUUUAGUAGUCAUAAAUUUCAUAUAGGCAGAAAGCCAUUUUGUUUUAGAAAUUUCAUUUGUAAAGGAGAUUUUUUUAGUAAAUGACUUUAUGGGCAAAAUGGAAAUCUGUUACCCUUUGAUGUGUUUUAAGAAAUAUAUAAAAUAGAAGGAAAUAACGUUUUGCUUUAUAAUAAUAGCUGCAAUCCGAGCUUAUUUGCAAACCUUACAUGUUUCACAUAAAGCAAAGAAGGAAAACAUCCCAUUACAACCUCAUUUGUCUAAAAUUAUUCUGAAACAAAAACAGAAAUGUAGGUUUAUGUACGAUACACAAACCAGUUUCUCAGCAAAGAUGGAUAAAUGAGAUAAAUCUGGUCAACUUUGAUUGGCAAAAGAUAUACAGUUUACCUUUUAAAGUUACAAAAGAUUCAAAACUACUGUGGUUACAGUACUGAAAGAAUCUCAGAAUUUUAGGAACAAAUCAUUUUUGUUACAAAAUGGGUAUUGUUCAUGAUAACCAGUGCUCUUUUUGUCCUAGAGCUACAGAAACUAAUUUACAUCUUUUUAUGAGUGUCCACUUAUAGCUACGUUCUGGUUAAAUGUUAGAAAUUUGAUUCAAAUUAAGUGUUCAUCAAUUACAAUAGGUACAAAUUGGGCAAAUACC